rnacentral:tRNA from 1 species
GACGCUGGAGCCUGAGGGUAAGGCAACUGCCUGCAAAGCAGUCUGAAUUGGGUUCGACUCCCAUCGGCGUCU